rnacentral:rRNA from 1 species
AGAACGAACGCUGGCGGCAUGCCUAAUACAUGCAAGUCGAACGAACACUUCGGUGUUAGUGGCGCACGGGUGCGUAACGCGUGGGAAUCUGCCCUUGGGUUCGGAAUAACAGUUGGAAACGACUGCUAAUACCGGAUGAUAUCGAAAGAUCAAAGAUUUAUCGCCCAGGGAUGAGCCCGCGUAGGAUUAGCUAGUUGGUGAGGUAAAGGCUCACCAAGGCGACGAUCCUUAGCUGGUCUGAGAGGAUGAUCAGCCACACUGGGACUGAGACACGGCCCAGACUCCUACGGAGGCAGCAGUAGGGAAUAUGGACAAUGGGCGCAAGCCUGAUCCAGCAAUGCCGCGUGAGUGAUGAAGGCCUUAGGGUUGUAAAGCUCUUUACCCGAGAUGAUAAUGACAGUAUCGGAAGAAGUAACGACCCCCGGCUAAACCGUCCCGUAGCCCGAAGCCAGCCCGC